UUUGCGACUUUUCUUGAAUUGGUGUCCUGAAGUACAUGGAACAAAGAAUUAGUCUUCAAGUCAAAGAAGCGGUUACUGUUUUGUAAAUGGUCUAGCUUAGUCUGUUACUUGAUUUUUCUCUCUUUUCCGAAACAUCUCAAAAUGAACCGGGCACAUUCCAUGUUCAGUUGUGAAGCUAUGUUCAUUCAGGAGCUUGGUUCUCUUGAAACUUUGAAACUUGAGUCAAAGAACUAUGCAUUGUAGCCACCCAGCUCAAUCGAAGGGCAAGUAAUGCUACAUGCCAUCCUCAUGGUCAGACUCUUGUUGAAGCGACUAGUUCUUGAAUUUAUCUUCUCGGUUGUUGUUCUAAAUUUUUCCUUGACAUAUUUUUGAAAGCAACUUAGGCACAACUUAAACGAGCAUGUUGGGCAGCAUCUCAAGAAUUGGCUC
rnacentral:lncRNA from 1 species